rnacentral:tRNA from 1 species
GCCCUCGUAGCUCAGAUGGAUAGAGCGCUUGCUUGCGGAGUAAGAGGUCGCGCGUUCGAAUCGUGCCGAGGGCGCCA